UUUGCGCGACAUGGCUUUUCAUAGCGCUCAAUUGGAUCUAUCCCCUGAGCAUAGGAGAAAAGUAUCAAUUUGUACAGUGGAUCCAAGUAUUCUACAAAGCAUGCAUCCUCCAAUUUCCCACAAGCGAGAAUGGCAUGAUCUGAUGGAUGAAAUGGUUGUUGUAGCAAUAAAAUAAUAUCGGUCAAUUGUCUUUCAAGGAACAAUUGUCUUUCAAGAACCACACUUUGUUGAAUACUUCAGAUCGUUCAAGCUCUGCAAGGUGAGGUCUGUACAGUUUGGCCAGAAAGGCAUCCCCUACCUGAACACCUACGACGGUCGCACCAUCCGCUACCCCGACCCUCUCAUCAAGGCCAACGACACCAUCAAGAUUGAUCUGGAGACCAACAAGAUCAUGGACUUCAUCAAGUUGUAUUUGCCCUUUCAUGGAUUCAUCAAGUUAUAUACUUAGUUAGGCUCAAUAUUAGCACAAACAGUUGAUGAGCAAGUUUAAAUUUAGAGUACACUUAUGUAUGAGUUAUUUGACAAUGCUUAUUUAUGAGAUAUUGAAUGUUAUUUA